GUUGACCUCGGAUCAGGUAGGGAUACCCGCUGAACUUAAGCAUAUCAAAAG
rnacentral:rRNA from 1 species